CCUAUAGUUUAUUUUUGUGCAAAAUAACAACCUUGUCAUUUGAUUUAGGGUUUUCAAUUUUUUUCUCCUAAAUGCACCCAUUAAGAUAAACUAAUGUUCUUUUUUUCCUCAAAACACCAUUUAUUUUUAAACCAUAUUAUUUUUUAUUUUUGAUUAAUAAGUAUUUUUUAAAAAAAUAAUUAAUCUAAAUAAUUUUUUUUAAGUACUAUUAAUAAAAAAUGUACUUAAAAAAUAAAACUUUGUUAUCAAUACUAUUUCUCAAAAACAAAUUGAUCUAAAUAUUUUACAUUAAAAGUGUUCCAAAUCUAAAAAUACUUAGAAAAUAAACCAUUUAUCAAUUUAUUUUUUAAAAAAGAGAAUUUUUAUUUAUCUUAAUGGAUGUAUUGAGAAAAUAAAUUUGAAAGACCCACAUCAAAGGGAAAGAUUGUCAUUUUUGAAAAAAAAUGAACUCCUGAGGGAAUCUUGAAUAAUUUUUCCAAUUUUUUUUUUGGAUAUGAUUUUAGUUUUUUUUUUUAAUAAUACAGGGGAUCAAUCCCUCCGCUCUCUAGCAGAGGGUGUAAUUAAAGUCAGGGCAAAACUCCCCGUAGAUUGACUCAACUCAGGAAUUGAGUAUAUAUAUUUUUUUUGGUCUUGGCUAUGAUUCUAGUUGGACAACAGUAUAGUAAAUGAAGCCCAAUAAUUGAAGAACUUAAGCCCAACAACAGUUCCCAAUGGCCCAAGAGUAGGGCCCUAUUGGCUGUGUGGUUGUUGGCUAUUGCAUGCAAUGCAUAAUGUAGAAACAACUAAUUAACAACUGUGCUUGGAUGCUUUAUUUGUCUACAGAAAUGGGAUUGAGAGAGAAAUGUAUUGCCCGCGCAUUAACAUAAUUGCUUUUCAAUAAAUAUCUUUUUAUCUUUUUAAAAGUUUUGGAAGCACACAAUUUAUAACUAAUUGAUGAUAGAAGUAGAAGCUAACUGAUCGUGGGUGGCAUAGAUAAGCGAUGUGAGACAAAUCUAGCACUAUCCGCACGUAGAGAUCAGAUGCAAGUGGAUGGACGGAGAGGUAGACGAGAAGAGAUAAAUAGACUUGGACAAAGACUUGAUCCAUGAGAAAGUGUUGCCAAUAAUUAUAGAGCUCUGAAGGCGAGAGAGUAUUUUAACUAUAAAUGCAGCAGGCUCCGUAAGUAACAGUUAAGUGAAACAAAAUAGUCUUCUAUUCAAAAAUAGUGAUUGUUUAUGAGAAAACACUUGCUCGUAUCCAUCUCUAAGAACGCCAAAUUUCUUCUUCCCAGCAAUAAAAUCGGAUUUUACCAUGGUUUGUGAAGAAGUCCAAAGGGUGGACUUCCUCGCCAACGGUUGCUAUUCGAAACAAAGAUUUUAAGUUAACUAUUUCUCAACCUCAAUUUCAAUAUUUUAUUAUUUUUAGUGAUUUUUUUUUUAAAUUAUUUUUUUUAAAAAUCUUUUACUUUUGAGUUUAUCAUAUUUUUUUUCAAAAUAUGUUUUGUAGGUUGUAACUUGAUAACAACUCAUGCCGGGCAUAUGUGUUGCCCAUGAUACAUACAACAUUUGGGAUAAGAAGAUUGGUAGAAAAUUGCAAUUGAAUUCCAACUUUGGGUGUAAUCCUAAGUAAAAGACAACAAUUUUGUACUCUUGUGUUUGUGUUUUGUUGUCGGAAAAUUAUUUCAUACGUUAAGGAUACCGGCGUGCAUGUUUAUAUGUGCUACCACUACAACAAAUUUUGUCUAUUAGCUAAUACGACGAUGGUUGGCCAACUUACAACCUUGAAGAAGGUGGCAUUCAGUAGCAGCCGCAUUGUGAC
rnacentral:lncRNA from 1 species